CCAGCUGAGUUCCUGUAUAGGGUUAAGUGGAACCAGCUGCGCCCGCUAGCGUGAGGCUUGAACGUAGGCGUUCCGCUUCCUUCCCAUAACAACGAGACGAGAAUAAAAGAGAGUCCGAGACGAGGCUUGCGGAGAACCAAGAUCAAAAUGUUUCUUUGCGGCCGAACACGAUGAGCCUGAGAUCCUCCCACUUUUUCUCGUCUCGAAGAAAUCAUGAAUCAUGCGAUAAGAGCCGCGGUCUUUGGCCCUCGCGCCGCUUCUCCUUCGACCAUAUCCGUCUCUUUCUUCCAUUCCACUCCCGUCUUGGAACGCAAAAGGAGGACGAACUGGCACUCUAGAUUCAAUUAUUAUGCAAAACGAAGGAGAAAAAUAGAAUCAAAAAGGACAUUGCUACGCAAUAUUUCUGAGUAUGCAGAAUACCUUUUUGAGAUUCAGAGCUGGCGAGAUGAAGAUGAACGAAAUGCAAGAAAUGAUGGAGCCCCAUGGUUUAGAAGGCACUAUUGGGCCAGGGGAACAAAGAAAAGUGGUUUCUGUGUUCAUGAACCUCAAUCAGAAGAUUACAGAAACAAGAGAAGAGGUGCAUUUGUAUUUUGUUCGACCGACGAUGAUGAUGAUGACGUUGAAACCAUAUUCCGGUCUGCGUUUGGAAGGGCAAGAUACUCUUAUUGGUCUUUCAGUGGUUCUGAAAAUUUUCAACGGAGGAAUUCUUCCAGCCAUGCUUACAGUAAAAGCUCUUGGAACUGGAGUUAUGAAUCAGAUGAUGAAACUGAUACUUCCCAAGAGUCAGAAUUAGCUUCUGAAAGGUUAGCUCUUGGGUUGAGUGCAUCUGGUCCAUUAAAACUUGAAGAAGUUAAAAUUGCGUAUCGAGCCUGUGCCUUCAGAUGGCAUCCUGAUCGUCAUCAAGGUGCAUCAAAGAUAGCAGCAGAGGAGAAAUUCAAGCAUUGCAGUGCAGCGUACAAGACGUUAUGUGAUAGAUUGACUGUGAGCUGAAGAUUUUCAAGGCAUGAGAGAGAAUCAAGAGGGUUGAUCAGCAGUUCUGUAACAGUAAUUUAUUAAAGGAAAAAGCUUUACCCCAGUUCCUUGUUAAAUUGGCUUAUUCAAGCAUGAACUUGCCGCGACAUAUAAGAUGCCUCUUCAAGCAAUUAAAUGUAUCAUUUAAAAGAGUUGAUAUAUUUAACAAAGUUAACAAAUUAACAGCAUAUCUAUAGCCAUCCAUCAGUGGCAAGUUUUUAUUUUUUAUUUUUUUUAUUGUAGUAGUCAUAAAUCUAGAGAUAAAAAGAGUAAAAGGUUCUUGUAUUCACUUCAAUAUUUAUUGUGGUAUAUUAUUGGAGGAAGUAGGAUGAAGGACAAAGGGUUUAUUGGUGCCUGCCGUUCUCUCUUGAAGCUGGAGAAGCGCUGAGGAAAUUUGUUGCUUUGUGCUUCUCGGCGCAUCGAGCUUUGUUUGCCUGCUUGGGUCUCUGCUCAGGGUGGAAGUGAAUCUUUCCGGUGACAAAUGAUGCAUCAUGCUUCAGUUGAUUGCAGGCACCAAUCUUUCCUCAUCUACAUGGAGCCUUGCUUGUGGGUUGAAGCAGCAGCACUUCCAGCAAAAUCGCUAGUGACGUGAGAAACUGGUGCAGCUUCAGCGGACUGAAGGUGGAUGGUGGAAUUUAGGGUCGUAGCCUUUUUAUUUGUUAUUCUAGUCUUUUGCUCCCUCUUCUCCAAUGUUGGAGGGUUUUCCAGCUACAAGAGCUUCAUGGAAGGGUUUUGUAAUAGUAUUGCCAUUUUGCGCAUUGGUCAUGUGUACCAUGUUAUCGUGUCUCAAUUUUAAGAGUUAUGCGAGUUUACGUCU